AUUUGAUGUUAAGGGAGCAUCUGCUUAAACAUAUUACCUGCAGUGAAAAGAAUUUGGUGGACAAACCUGGCCGGCACCCAUUUCUGGUAACAGCUGGAUUCCUUUUCAUCUCACAGUGCAGUGCCACCUGAUCAUGUGCUUACAUUCUUUUGAGAGGGUCCCAUUUAAAUAAGUAAUGAAACCAUGAUCUCUCAAGUCUCAUCCAUGCAGAAGAGCUCUCUUCCAGGGCUGCUGGUGAAAGCAGGUGCAAUCAGAGGAACCAUAAAUCACAGUGAUUCUGCAGGGCUAUCUACAGGGGAUGCACUGGACCCCAUUGGGACAUUUCAAAAGUAGUUAGAAAACUGCUUCUCUGGCGCCUUGCAGGAGAACUCAAGUGUCCAGAACAGAAGCCUUCCAAGGGGAGUGGGGACACUUCCACAACCUGCUCCUUCUUCUGAGGUUCAAAAGUGACCUAAAAUGCAAUUAUACAUAUAUAUAAAGUUAAGAAUGUGAAGGAACUUUCUUCUUUGGCAGAUGCGUGCCCUUUUUUCUCGUUCCAAAUUAAAAUGAGCUGGAAGAGUACUUACUGCUUGGCUGUACGCAGCUGUUCAGAUGUGUAAGAAGACAGCUAGCUCCACUAAAGAUUAAUGUGUAUUAAAUUCUUGCUCCAGAAUGUCAGUAACACUGAAAUUUGAGGCUUUUGUCUGUCGCUUCUAGCCUAUAGCAUGAUUAGAAAAAGCAACAUAGGUACAAUAAUAGCAAUGAAUGUUAAAGGAGUGCCUGCGAUCUCAUCUUCACGGAAGCCCUAUUGUUAUCAUCGGUCCCAUUUUAUAGAUGAGGAAACUGAGUUUUGGAGCUGUUUGGUGUCUUAGCCAUAGGCUCUCACAGUUAGUAAGCAGUGGAACCGGGAGCUGAGGAAUCCAGCUACUGCAGAGACCGCAGGAGGGGAAAUCUUUGUACCAUUGUAUUAAUAGUGCCGUUGACAUGACUUUAUCUGGAACGUUAGAAUUUUUAUCAAGUGAUUCUUAAAUAACAUUUAAUUAGAGACCAGUUAUAAAAUUUGACUCCCCAGAGUAAAAUCUGAGGUUUAGGCUCCACUUUCAUCACCAAGACUAAGGCAGGGUAGAAGCUACAAUACUCAUAUCAGGAAUCUGGAGUUUUUCUCAAGCUCAGCUUCUGAGAAAUUUGCAGACUUGUAAGAAAUAAAAACAAGGGACCUUUCA
rnacentral:lncRNA from 13 species